CAUAUUUUAUUGGCGUGCUUUUGGGGAUGAUUUGUUUUGAGUGAUGCUAAUUGAGUAGCGAAACGCUUUGUGGGAGUGUUUACUGUGCUUGUAUGCCAGUACAGGGUGAAGAUCUAUGUGAGGAUCUAUGAGAUAAUCUCUGUGAAGAUCUAAGUGAUGAUCUAUGUGAUGAUCCAUGUGAUGAUUUUGUGUAAUUGAUGUGGAGUGAUGUUGAGCAGUUGUGUUGUGAGUUUACGUUUGUGAUGAAAGGAUUUAGUGGCCAUAGGAAUGUAUUUUUAUACAAAGGGCUGAGGCUUUGUAGAUUACUACAGAUUUGGAAAAGAUGGAGAUUCUAUAGUUAGAGUCUGACAUGAGAGUGAAGUAUCCACAGCUCUUUGUGGAAUUGGGUGCUUGAAUUUCGGGACGAAAUUCGUUUAAGGGGGGUAGAUUGUAAUAACCGGAUUUUUUUAUAAUUAAUCAAAAGCAAGGAACAUGAUCAUUUCAUUCUUUACCUUUCAUGAUGAUUGUCGAUUAGAGCACUAUGAAUUGUUGCCGACACUCGAUCGACCGACAGCAGAAACUUAAUUCCUUUCCUCUCUAUUUCUCUCUCGUUUCCUCUCGUCACAGUCGAAGAAACAAAACAGAGCUUUGUUCAUCGUGCUGCACCGUCCACCACAGACCACCAAACAACCUCAGACCACCUUCCACGGCUUCGCCUCGACCUUGCGCAGCUACCGGAGGUAACCUUGCGCGGCGGCACGACCGGCAGCGACGGCGGCGACCCCGAGUCCGGUUUAGCUCGUUUUCGUUCCAAACUCGAUAUCUCGAGCUACAGAGCACCAUUUCACUUGAUUCUUGGCUCAUUGAGCUCGCCUCAUCUUCCUAUACAAGCACCAAGAAGGAUCGGAACUGGAUUGAACGUUUUCACGUUCGUCGGAGCUCGACCCGUGCGGAUCGAACAACCAACCUUCGGAUCAAGAUAUCUCGAGCUAUACACGAUCGUUUCUUGUGAUUCUUGGCUUGUUGAGUUCAUAAGGAAGUUCUGAACAAUUCUCUAGAAGGAAUCGAAGCCUGAAAUUGAAGUUUUGACGUCGAAAUCAAGCCUUGCCGGAUUCUGCAAAAUUCUGGAAUUUUUCCGACCACCGAAGCUUUCGAUCGGUAUAUCUCGAGCUACAGACCAUAUUUUUCUGUGAUUCUUGAACCAGUGAGUUCUUCUUGAGUUUCUUAACAACUCUUCAGAAGGAAUCGAAGCCUUAAAUUGACGUUUUUACGUCGAAUUGGAGCUCGCCGUUUUCUGCAGUUUCUCGCCGGUUUCUGGAAAAUUCCGGCCACCUUCAUACUGUUCAAGGUGGUUGAUGGAUUGAUUGGUGAACGAUUUCGGAUCGUUGUUUUGAGCUGUUAAGAAGACGCAGCGGGAAUUUAGAGCGGGUAAUCCUACAGGACAGGAGAACCAGGACGGUGAUCGUGCGGUUAGAGCAAUGGUUAUAGUUUUACAGCAAUUGUAAUAGUGAGGCGAGUUAAGCGCAUUUGAGCAUUACAAUUUGAUUUGGUGGGAGUGUGCUGUAAUAAAUAACUUGAGGAUUUGGGUUAUUGUAAAUUUGAGAGUUGUGAAGUGUGGUUGUUUGUGAGAAAAAAAUUCAGGAUGUUAGUUGUAAUUUGUUAUUAUUCAUGUUUCGG